AACAGCUACCAGCGCAGCAAAAACAUCUGUGAAACCGGGAGACGCCAUCUGGGACUUCAUACAUGACCGACAAAAAAGACCCCUCCCUCGAAUCAGAUUCUCAGAAAAAAGUUCUGGAAUAAUGUUCUUUAUGUUGGUGGCAUUAACCUUGUUAACAAGCCCAUUAAUACUCUUACGAAGGGCAUCCCAUGUCAACCUCUGGUACUCCACAGAGCUUUUAUCUUGAAUUUCCUUCAUCAUUCGGGCCAAUUUGAAAGGAGGUAUGUAAACACCCCCACUUCUACCCAAAUUUGAUGCAUCAGCGUUCAAAUUUCCUUCUCCAAUUGUCGUUUUGACGGGUUUUGAGUCUUCAACCAACUUUCCACGCUCGCCAUCUCCCCGCACUUCAUCUUUCUCUUUACGUCUCCCAUUUUCCCCAUCAUCCCUGUUCCUAUGCCUCCUACGCCUGUCUUCAUCAAUUCUAUCCCUCUCUCGUUCUGAUUUCCAUUGUAAGUCCCUACUUCUAUCCUCAGCUUCUCCCCUUAUAUGUACAUUUUCAUGCCGACGGUUUCUUUCUCUUUCAUGCCUGUCUCUCCUCUCCCGGUAAUCACCUUCAUCAGAACUCUGAUUAUACUCUUUAACCCUAUCCCUACGGUCAAUAUUUCUCUCUCUCUCUCGUUCAUCCCUUUCUCUCUCUACUAAUUCUCCUUCCUCAUCAGAACUUACCCUCGAUGACCUCCUUUCUCGAACCUCUC
rnacentral:misc_RNA from 1 species